rfam:Tupaia chinensis contig198694, whole genome shotgun sequence.
GUGCUCGAUUAUGCAGCACAUAUACUAAAAUUGGAAUUAUAUGGAGAAGAUUAGCAUGGCCUUUGCACAAGGAAGACACGCAAAUUCUGAAGUAUCCCAUAUUUAU